GAAGAGACAUCAUCAAAGCGAAGAGCAGAGUGCGGAUUCCCUUAGCGCCUUUAAUGAGGCGCAGGAUUCGACCGAUUCUGGCAAGCCGGACGACUCUGAACAAACUGUGUCUAUAUAUUGACAUGAAGAUUCAGAAGUCAAAAGAGACCAUCUCUAACAAACUCCUCAUAAAUCAAAUAUUCAAGUAAAAUUAACUUCUUGAAGAGUAAGACUUUUGGAAGAAAAACAAGAAGUUGAUUUGAUAAUUAUGGUAGAAAUGUGCUGUGACUGUUGGAAGAUUUCAAUCAGUGGGAAAUAAAGAAUAAAAGAAAAGACCCAUAAAGAAAGUGGAAAUGGGUUGGGGAUUUCUUCUGCUGUCUCACUGAUGUAACGGCUGAACAAGCCAUCCUUGUCUCAGUGUGCUGUCCCUAGGGAGAAUGUAGGCCUCAAGGCAAGAUAACCCUUACAGACCAGUUAGGAACUCAACAGUAGAACAUUGCCUCCCUCACAGAACCAAUGUAAUGAAAGUAGGAUGAACACAGGAACCACAGAAAAGCACAGUUUAACUACACAGAGACAGUAUACUGCAACACAAGGUCUUUUCUCAGUCAUAUCCCAAUAUGCCCAAAUGUCAGUCAUAAGAAAAAAAAACAAGAAGAAAAAUACUGCUGGGUAGCCAUGAACUGUGUGAUCUGCACAUUUCUAUGAACACAGAUGCACCUACACAUUCAAAAGAAAGAUAACUAAUACUUGCUAAUUUGCUACAUGAAACUCAAGAAUACUAUAUAGAUAGAAUUUUCCCCAGCCUAAUAGUAUGUCCAGUAUUUUACUUUCUUGGUGACUUGCAAUAGCUCCAAUGUACAAGGGGUAUAUACCACACUGCCAGAAAAAGCCAUUUAGCAGGAACCUUUAUCUGCUUUCUGAGUCAUGAUGAUUCCAGUGGACAGUGUCUACCAAAUGAACUUAAUAACAUUUAUAAUUACCUCAUUACUGAGUAAGGUCACCUUGUCACGUAUCGACUGCCAAAAUUACCAACAACAUGUAUAUAACCUUAGUCUUGCUCUCCAAGGAUGAGAAGUGGAUCCACCUUCCUGCUAAGUACUGAAUGCCCCUCAAGUUCACUCCAAGGAAGGUGCAAAUAUUUUGAAGGUUGAAGAUGCCACCAUUUAUGGUUUAAAUAGCAAGUACAAUUUAAUUUGCCAUCAUAGCCUGCCUUUUCAUCUAUUUGCAUGUUUCUAGAGUUCUUGACACAAUCCUGUGUUCAUUUAAGUAAUAGAAACAGCUUAAGUUGAAAAGAAAACCUACACAUUUUCAAAUGACACAAAUUUUCUUUUUCUUGCAAAUUCACUAACUCAAGACAGUUUCCCUACCCUCACUAAUCUUACAAUACAGAGAAGUAUUUUCAGCAUUCAACAUGUUAGUCUCUGUAAUGGAGGCCUUCACAAUACUGCUGUAUGUCAUCUCCUUAUCAAUUUUGAAAUUCAUAGUUUUGCGUAUUUUCUUCUUUCCUGCCUUUUAUUUGUUUUAGUCAUCUGCACUUUCACACUGCUUAGUCACUGCACUGUAAAGUUAACAAAAACAAGGACGUGACUUUCUGAUGGACAAUAUAUCAUUGGGCUGUACAGGGAUGUGGAGAACACUCAGCACUAAGCGUAAUUUUAAAUUACUUCAAAUGUGUUAAAAAGAAAAUACUGUUAUUCAAUUAUUUCGAACAAACAAAAAUCUUAAAACCUGAUUUCUUUUUUUCUUUCUAUUUCUAUGAGAAAUUUCAGACACUAUUAUUUAUCCUUGCAUACAUUUGCUGAAUGCUCAAUAACAAUGAAGUAUUGUAAAAAUGAAACAUGUGGUACUUAUCUUCUUUUUUUGUUGGUUGAAGUUAUCUAUGAUGACACCAAUGAAUAAGUUUAGGGUGAAAAAUGAUCCAAA